rnacentral:tRNA from 1 species
UCCUUAGUAGCUCAGUGGUAGAGCAAUCGGCUGUUAACCGAUGGGUCAUAGGUUCAAGUCCUAUCUAAGGAG